GCUGAUAUAGCUCGAAGUUGGUAGAGCGCGCCGCUUAAAAGGGUGAGGUCGGCGGAUUCGAAUCUGCCUAUCAGCACCA
rnacentral:tRNA from 1 species